AGCGAACGCUGGCGGCAGGCCUAACACAUGCAAGUCGAACGAACCUUUCGGGGUUAGUGGCGGACGGGUGAGUAACACGUGGGAACGUGCCUUUAGGUUCGGAAUAACUCAGGGAAAAUUGUGCUAAUACCGAAUGUGCCCUUCGGGGGAAAGAUUUAUCGCCUUUAGAGCGUCCCGCGUCUGAUUAGCUAGUUGGUGGAGGUAAUGGCUCACCAAGGCGACGAUCAGUAGCUGGUCUGAGAGGAUGCUCAGCCACAUUGGGACUGAGACACGGCCCAAACUCCUACGGGAGGCAGCAGUGGGGAAUCUUGCGCAAUGGGCGAAAGCCUGACGCAGCCAUGCCGCGUGAAUGAUGAAGGUCUUAGGAUUGUAAAAUUCUUUCACCGGGGACGAUAGUGACGGUACCCGGAGAAGAAGCCCCGGCUAACUUCGUG
rnacentral:rRNA from 1 species